AUUGAACGCUGGCGGCAUGCCUUACACAUGCAAGUCGAACGGUAACAGGUCUUCGGAUGCUGACGAGUGGCGAACGGGUGAGUAAUACAUCGGAACGUGCCUAGUAGUGGGGGAUAACUACUCGAAAGAGUGGCUAAUACCGCAUGAGAUCUACGGAUGAAAGCAGGGGAUCGCAAGACUUUGUGCUACUAGAGCGGCCGAUGGCAGAUUAGGUAGUUGGUGGGAUAAAAGCUUACCAAGCCGACGAUCUGUAGCUGGUCUGAGAGGACGAUCAGCCACACUGGGACUGAGACACGGCCCAGACUCCUACGGGAGGCAGCAGUGGGGAAUUUUGGACAAUGGGCGCAAGCCUGAGCCAGCAAUGCCGCGUGCAGGAUGAAGGCCUUCGGGUUGUAAACUGCUUUUGUACGGAACGAAAAGCCCCGGGUUAAUACCCUGGGGUCAUGACGGUACCGUAAGAAUAAGCACCGGCUAACUACGUGCCAGCCGCCGCCGUAA
rnacentral:rRNA from 1 species